CACGUAGGAAGCGAGCGUUAUCCGGAUUUACUGGGCGUAAAGCGCGUGUAGGCGGUCUGGUUAGUUGGAUGUGAAAGCUCCCGGCUUAACUGGGAGAGGUCGUUCAAUACUGCCAGACUUGAGAGUGGUAGAGGGAGAUGGAAUUCCGGGUGUAGUGGUGAAAUGCGUAGAUAUCCGGAGGAACACCAGUGGCGAAAGCGAUCUCCUGGACCAUUUCUGACGCUCAGACGCGAAAGCUAGGGUAGCAAACGGG
rnacentral:rRNA from 1 species